CCUACGGGCGGCAGCAGUGAGGAAUAUUGGUCAAUGGGCGCAAGCCUGAACCAGCCAAGUCGCGUGCGGGAUAACGGUCCUAUGGAUUGUAAACCUCUUUUGUCGGGGAGCAAGUCCCGCCACGUGUGGCGGGAAGGAGAGUACCCGAAGAAAAAGCAUCGGCUAACCCCGUGCAAGCAGCCGCGGUAAUACGGAGGAUGCGAGGGUUAUCCGGAUUUAUUGGGUUUACAGGGUGCGUAGGCGGAAGGUUAAGUCAGCGGGAAAAUGUCGGGGCUCAACACCGGCCUGCCGUUGAAACUGGCCUGCGUGAGUGAGCGAGAAGUAUGCGGAAUGCGUGGUGUAGCGGUGAAAUGCAUAGAUAUCACGCAGAACUCCGAUUGCGAAGGCAGCAUACCGGCGCUCAACUGACGCUGAGGCACGAAAGCGUGGGGAUCGAACAGGAUUAGAUACCCCUGUAGUC
rnacentral:rRNA from 1 species